rnacentral:lncRNA from 1 species
CUUGAGUGUGUGUUAGCCUGCCCCAUAUUGGGGUGACGUCCGUGCGUCCAUAAUGUGAUGAUCAGUCGGGCCACAGGCAAUAGGAAAUGGGCUACUCAACCUAAAGAAAGAGAAAGUUUGAAGCUUUCUACAUGUAUAACACAAUCAUUUAAAAAUGUCAGAUUUUGUAAAAACUCCAUUCAAAAAAAUAGCAAAAAAAGCAAUUUAAUUAAAUGCCCUUUUUGUAUGCCAUAAAGCUCGUCUAGGCUGUGCUUAUGUGUAUGUAAAGGAAAAGGUGCACAAUGAGAUAUGUGUGGGUAUAUGUCUCCUUGUAUCACACACACACACACACGUGUAUAUAUAAUAAAAUGCUAAACAAAUUCUAUAGAAGAAUAUAUUUCAAGUAAAUAUAUUAAUAUACUUUAAAUUUACAUUGUAAAUUGCACGCUAAAUUAAAAUUUAUGAUAAUACCAUGUUGAGUUUAUUUUUGAUACUACUGGAAAACAAAACCCACAGGCCUAAAUUGCUACUUAACAUGACUAGUAGAGAAGCCACCUAUUACAAAAGUAUUACUUUGAUUUUCCUCAGUUAGCAAAUAACAUUUAACAUAUUUUUUCACUGUGCAAUGAUUAGACACUGAAAUUUGUUAUAACUUGGACUCCUUGAAUGAGAAAACUUAGAAAUAAACAAAAAUAUUCAGAUUAAUCUCUACUUCUCGUGUAAUUUAGAUUUAGAUGCAUGAGAUUUUCUCCUUAAAUCCUAGUUUAUACUAGAGCCAUUUUAACAGCAGAAAGCUUGAUUAUGUGUUAAUCUCUCC